UGCAUGUCCCCCUCCCCCUACCCACCCCAUCCCCUCUCCCCCCAGCACCAGGGCCUUGAACUCAACGCUGCCCAGCUUGGAAAGUGCCUUCUCCCCCCAGGACCCUCAUCAGAGCCUCCCAGGCAGCCUCUGGGGGUCCCUGUGGAGCACCUAGGGUCUGGGGCAUGAUGAGGCUGAACGACUGCCAACUGGGACGUGGGGCCAACUGGGAUGUGGGGCAGGAGUUCUGUCCCCCAAGAGACCCCUGCCCAGGCCAGGCCAGUCAGGGCUCUGGCCCAGGGAAGGAGGGGAGACGCCAGCCAGGCCGGGAGGAACUGUCAGCACAGCCCCUCUGUCCACCCAGGUUUGAGACAGGCACUGGCCUCAGACCCGGGCCACACUGAGGUCUGCCCUUCUCCUGCUGGCCGCUGCCCGGGACACCAUGAGCCAGUCCGGGGCUGUGAGCUGCUGCCCGGGUGCCACCAAGUGAGCCCCCCCGCCCAUCCCGAAUACCCCACCCUCACCCUCCGAGCAGUCCCCGGGGAGGGGUGCAGUUCGGCCCUGCCCUCACAGCCCCUCCCCUGCAGCGGCAGCCUGGGCCGGUCCGACAGUGUGGCCAGGAUGAGCCCCAAGGACCUGUUUGAGCAGAGGAAGAAGUAUUCCAACUCCAACGUCAUCAUGCACGAGACCUCGCAGUACCAUGUUCAGGUAAGGCCCCGCCACCAGGUAAGGCCCCGCCCCCAGGACAUGGCUGUCCUCAUGCUCCCGUCUCCACAAAAAAUAAAAUAA
rnacentral:lncRNA from 1 species